AUUGAACGCUGGCGGCAGGCCUAACACAUGCAAGUCGAGCGGAUGAAGGGAGCUUGCUCCUGGAUUCAGCGGCGGACGGGUGAGUAAUGCCUAGGAAUCUGCCUGGUAGUGGGGGAUAACGUCCGGAAACGGGCGCUAAUACCGCAUACGUCCUGAGGGAGAAAGUGGGGGAUCUUCGGACCUCACGCUAUCAGAUGAGCCUAGGUCGGAUUAGCUAGUUGGUGGGGUAAAGGCCUACCAAGGCGACGAUCCGUAACUGGUCUGAGAGGAUGAUCAGUCACACUGGAACUGAGACACGGUCCAGACUCCUACGGGAGGCAGCAGUGGGGAAUAUUGGACAAUGGACGAAAGCCUGAUCCAGCCAUGCCGCGUGUGUUAAGAAGGUCUUCGGAUUGUAAAGCACUUUAAGUUGGGAGGAAGGGCAGUAAGUUAAUACCUUGCUGUUUUGACGUUACCAACAGAAUAAGCACCGGCUAACUUCGUG
rnacentral:rRNA from 1 species